rnacentral:rRNA from 1 species
CUGAACGCCUCUAAGCCAGAAUCCGUGCUUGAAAUCGACGAUGUUUUGUCCUGCGUAUUUCAGUUGCGUUGAAAUAGAACACUUGUUGUUCGAGAACCAAAGUUUGGCGGGCUUCACCUUGAUAGCGGAAAUGCUUGAUUGGUUUGCCUGCAUUAGCAUUUUAUAGAUUCGCGGGGAAAAAUCCUUUGCAGACGACUUGAAUUGGAAUGGGGUACUGUAAGCGGUAGAGUA